AACUAAUAAUCUUUUUAUUGAAAUGUCCGAAUGUUUUAGGUUGAAAAUCAUCCUUAUCUUACUCAAAAUAAACUCAAAGAGGUAUGCGAAAUUAAUGGCAUACUUUUAACUGCUUAUGGGCCUUUGGGAUCACCUUAUAGAAAUAAAGAAAUUAACCUUUUGGAUGAACCUAUUGUAAAACAGCUAGCAGAUAAAUACAAGAAAACAAAUGCUCAAAUAUUAAUAAAGUUCCAGGUGAAAUAUUGGUGUUACAAAACAAAUUUUAAUUACUAAUUAAUUAUAUUAAACAUUUAGAUCCAAAGAGGUAUUAUAGUUAUACCUAAAUCAUCUAAUCCAGUGAGGCAAGCAGAAAAUUUUGAUGUCUGGGAUUUUGAAUUAAGCAAGGAAGAUAUAGUUCUACUUGAAACAUUAAAUAGAAAUUUGCGUUAUGUGGUUUUUGAAAAGUAAAUUUAAAUAAUGAAUGUAGGUAUAUUCAUUUUCGUUUAAUUAUUUUGAUAUUAUUUUUCAGAUCAUUACACUUGAAGGACUACCCAUUUCACGAAGAAUAAUAAAUACUUACUUUCUAGAUAUACUUGGCGCUGAAAUUUUAUCAAGGAAUACAAUUAAAUUUUGUUCAUAUUUGUUAUUUCUUAAAUAUUUUUGAAAAACUUUUUGUCUACAAAAGUAGGUAUAAGAUUAAAAUAUAAAUAUAGUUAUUGAUGUAAAUGUAAAGUGGUACUGACAUUAGUGAUAUGGGACAACUAUUGUAACCUUUUUAGUUAAUUAAAUGAAAAUUAAAAACAAAUUGUUUAAUAAUAAACCAUACAAUUUGUAGGAAUAUUAAAAAAAAAAAAUGUUUAUUAAAUUUUUGAAAACCUCAUUAUAUAGGUAUGUAUGUACCAUAAAUAAUGUACAGUGAAUAAUAUUAAUUAUUAUAAUGUAUAAUAUUAAUAACCCAUGUACAUUGCACAAUGUACCUACACAUAAUUAUAGUCUGUUACUAUAUAAUACAGACAUACUUCGCACGUAGGUUGGCCACUGUUGUAAGUGAGAAGUUGGGAAGAUAAAUUGGAAAUUUAAUGUUUAUCUGCACUCAAUGAUUUACCAUAACUAACGAAAAACGAUUCUUUGCGGAGCUCGGUGAAUGGUAUUGGUUUUUUAACAAUAUAUAAUAAGUAUGCAUGUGGGUCCGCUCAAUUCUGAUUUCGCCAUCGUCCAUAAAUCGAAAAUAUACAUAUAUGUUCAAAACAAAAGAAAAUUUAAAAAUUUACAUGAACCCGUAACUAGAUUUGUUUCACACAAUUUCUUACUCAAACGAUUGUCAUC